rnacentral:rRNA from 1 species
GACGAACGCUGGCGGCGUGCUUAACACAUGCAAGUCGAGCGGUAAGGCCCCUUCGGGGGUACACGAGCGGCGAACGGGUGAGUAACACGUGAGCAAUCUGCCCUUCACUUUGGGAUAACCACCGGAAACGGUGGCUAAUACCGAAUACGACCGCCCCAGGCAUCUGGUGGUGGUGGAAAGUUCCGGCGGUGGAGGAUGAGCUCGCGGCCUAUCAGCUUGUUGGUGGGGUAAUGGCCUACCCAGGCGACGACGGGUAGCCGGCCUGAGAGGGUGACCGGCCACACUGGGACUGAGACACGGCCCAGACUCCUACGGGAGGCAGCAGUGGGGAAUAUUGGACAAUGGGCGAAAGCCUGAUCCAGCAACGCCGCGUGAGGGAUGACGGCCUUCGGGUUGUAAACCUCUUUCAGUAGGGACGAAGCGCAAGUGACGGUACCUACAGAAGAAGCACCGGCCAACUACGUGCCAGCAGCAGCCGCGGUAA